AACGAACGCUGGCGGCAUGCCUAACACAUGCAAGUCGAACGAGACCUUCGGGGCUAGUGGCGCACGGUUGCGUAACGCGUGGGAACCUGCCCUUAGGUUCGGAAUAACUCCCCGAAAGGGGUGCUAAUACCGGAUUAUGUCUUCGGACCAAAGAUUUAUCGCCUUUGGAUGGGCCCGCGUUGGAUUAGCUAGUUGGUAGGGUAAAAGCCUACCAAGGCGACGAUCCAUAGCUGGUCUGAGAGGAUGAUCAGCAACACUGGGACUGAGACACGGCCCAGACUCCUACGGGAGGCAGCAGUGGGGAAUAUUGGACAAUGGGCGAAAGCCUGAUCCAGCAAUGCCGCGUGAGUGAUGAAGGCCUUAGGGUUGUAAAGCUCUUUUACCAGGGAUGAUAAUGACAGUACCGGGAGAAUAAGCGCCGGCUAACUCCGUG
rnacentral:rRNA from 1 species